UCAGGAUAGGCUCGAGAUCGAGAAGUUGUGUUUUGUAAGCAUAUGCUCCAUUGCUUCAGUCAUUCAUAUUUAUAUGUAUAUAAGACCAAAACGAACUGACCUUAAAUUUGCAAGACAACAUCCACUUAACGUUUGAAAACAAUAAUUUAGAAAAUCAUGUGAGGAUUGAUUUAUUUAGUAGCAUCCCAAGGAAUUUUCUUUGCAGUUUGCAGACCAAUUAUGAUUAUAGAUAGUUCCGCCUUAGAAAGUCAGAAAGCCUCCAGAGCAGCGAGUCAAUGAGCCAAACCAGUCCUUAAAAGGGAUUAUCAGUAUUCCCUUCGAUCAAACUUAAAUGGAUUACAUCGAGGAGGCAUACUCAGAUUCAACAUGUCAUUAAUAUGACAGGGUAUCUUAACCUUUAGGGAGGCAGAGAACAACAGAUUUAAGAAAAAAAACUCAACAAGCACUGCAUUGACCAUGUUCAAUUAAAGUCGGAGAGAAAGAGAUUGGGAUAGUGCUUAUGAGCCAUAAUUCGAGGAAAUUAAUUACAUCAAUCCUAAACAGAAAUACGUUCAUUCAUGACAGUAAAAUAAUACUACAGACAAUAGUGUGGACAUCUUCCUCCUUGAAUUUAUCUAACGUAAAGUACUUGGUGCAUAAUAAAGGUUGGGGCUUGGUGCUUCCUUAAUCCUCAAACAGAAACAGC